CUUGUGACUUUCACUAGUCUACACGUGUGUCCGUGCCACGAAAGUCUGUUACGUCGAACUACCCUUUAUUAACUCGAAGUUAGCGUUCGUGUUAUUAUUAUCGUAACUGAACUGAACGUCCGAGAAACCGACCAAGAACUACCGAAGUUGUUCUUCUGAUCGUAAGGGGUGAGUCAGUACUGUCGAAAAACUCCUAAAGUCUAAGACUUCACGUGUUCUUCCAGCGACGUCCAGGUAUGGACCGGCCUAGAUGUAGCUAAAAUUCGGUCCACCCACCAACAAGAGACCAAAACCGCCUAUGGUGUUCAACUUCUAGUUUAGGUCGACAAACAGUAGUUGUCGUCCGAUCGUGUGAGUCAGUAUGGGUAUUGGGUACUCAAGUACUUUCAAAUCCUAGAGGUGCUCAUGCAAAGUUACUGUUGUUCUGGUCGGUUCGGUAUUCCGAGUCUUAAAGUUCUGAGGUACUCUGACAACACUACCACAGUCGAAGUCCUUGCGUGUUCCUCCAGUGGUUCUAGCUAGUCUACGGCCGAAGAACUAAACACUGCUGUCCAGUGGGCGGACUUCCUUCUACGAAAUAUUAAACCCGGCGUACGACUAUUCCGCAGUUACUUAGAGUUCUACUCAUAUAGGUCACAGAGACAUGUAAGUACAAUGUGGACUACACGUGUGGCAGACCCAAAGGAGACGGAAAAGUUCUGCAUGAUGACUAUGUUGACGGACUACCCGUGUGACAAAACGAUGAUGACACGGACACAAAUGAUGACAAGCACUAACGAACGCUCCACACUAUUAUAGCUAAACCCGACACGGAACCGAAAAUUCAUUGUGCUGUGAACGACAUUCUGGCGCUCACUCAACACAAAAGUAUAAGCUUGAUUAAAAACGUCAUGUACUAAGAAAAAGUAUGAAGGUAAACUAUUCUAUAGCGGAUAAUUAAGGUCGGCAUAGACAUUUUAUUAUGUUAAACCAACAUCUGUCUUCCGAGUUCCUCUCGGGCCGUGUUAAACAAAUCACUAAGUAUUGCGACUCUGUAAGUAAAAGUGACGGUAUACCAAUGACCGAAAUUAAUCAAUAACAACGACAUUGAACGACGAUUACCCACCUAGGAACUUCACCAUAGUCGUGUACAUGGACAAAAUAAAAAAAUAAAAUAAAAAACG
rnacentral:rRNA from 1 species